rnacentral:rRNA from 1 species
UGGGGAAUAUUGGACAAUGGGCGAAAGCCUGAUCCAGCCAUGCCGUGUGUGUGAAGAAGGUCUUCGGUUUGUAAAGCACUUUAAGUUGGGAGGAAGGGCAGUAAGCGAAUACCUUGCUGUUUUGACGUUACCGACAGAAUAAGCACUGGCUAACUCUGUGCCAGCAGCCGCGGUAAUACAGAGGGUGCAAGCGUUAAUCGGAAUUACUGGGCGUAAAGCGCGCGUUGGUGGUUCGUUAAGUUGAAUGUGAAAGCCCCGGGCUCAACCUGGGAACUGCAUCCACAACUGGCUAGCUAGAGUAGGGCAGAGGGUGGUGGAAUUUCCUGUGUAUCGGUGAAAUGCGUAGAUAUAGGAAGGAACACCAGUGGCGAAGGCGACCACCUGGGCUCAUACUGACACUGAGGUGCGAAAGCGUGGGGAGCAAACAGG